AUCUAUUUGAUUUUCUCUCCCAUUGGAUAACCGUGGGAAAUCUAGAGCUAAUACGUGCGGUACCUUGGUGUACCUUCGGGUGCACCAAAGCAUUUAUUAGACUAAACCAACUACUAUGCAUCUGCAUAGUAAGGGGAAUCUGGAUAACUUUGCUGAUCGUAUGGCCCACUGCCGGCGACGUUUCAAUUGAGUUUCUGCCCUAUCAACUUGUUGGUAAGGUAUUGGCUUACCAAGGUUGCAACGGGUAACGGGGAAUCAGGGUUCGAUUCCGGAGAGGGAGCCUGAGAAACGGCUACCACAUCCAAGGAAGGCAACAGGCGCGCAAAUUACCCAAUCUAGACAGUAGGAGGUGGUGAAGAGAAUUACUAAAUGGUGGUCCAAUGGAUCACUUGUUUGGAAUGAACGUAACUUAAGAAAUUCCUUGAGAAACAACUGGAGGGCAAGUCCUGGUGCCAGCAGCCGCGGUAAUUCCAGCUCCAGUAGUCUGCUUUAAAGUUGUUGCGUUUAAAACGCUCGUAGUUGGAUCACGCAGUGGUGUUCAGUAAUCUAUUGUGAGGUAUCAUCAUACGUGUCCGUCACGUACGGCCGUGUGUUGGUGCCUGCAUCAGAUGACAUGCUGAAUGCCACUAGUUGCACGUGAGAUAGAUUGUUGGCCUUAAGUGAGCUGACUUUCUGGUCUUGCGGGGUGUGCCUUGAAUAAAACAGAGUGCUUAAAGCAGGUUAUCGCCUGAAUGUUAUAGCAUGGAACGAACAAUCGUGUAUAUGUGUGUGUCCUCAGUCGGUUGUGAGCCUUUGGUUUGCAGUUGUCUGGGGCGCACACGGCACCCACCAAAAUAUGGCUGUUG
rnacentral:rRNA from 1 species